CAGUAGCCACGGUAAUACGAAGGGGGCUAGCGUUGUUCGGAUUUACUGGGCGUAAAGCGCACGUAGGCGGAUCGAUCAGUCAGGGGUGAAAUCCCAGAGCUCAACUCUGGAACUGCCUUUGAUACUGUCGAUCUGGAGUAUGGAAGAGGUGAGUGGAAUUCCGAGUGUAGAGGUGAAAUUCGUAGAUAUUCGGAGGAACACCAGUGGCGAAGGCGGCUCACUGGUCCAUUACUGACGCUGAGGUGCGAAAGCGUGGGGAGCAAACAGGAUUAGAUACCCCAGUAGUCCCUGUCUCUUAUAC
rnacentral:rRNA from 1 species